AAAUUCUAUUUUCGAGGGCCCCCGAUUACGCCCUCGGUGAAAUAGUCCCUAGACGCUUCCUUUCUUCUUCCUCCCGCUCCCUUUCUUCUUUCUUUCUCCGAUUACGGUCCGUCCUCCGUCCAUCCUUCACUCACAUAUCCGAUUACGCCUGUCCUCCACCCAUAGAUCUGAUUCCGCCCUCCUCCGGCCACAGAUCAAUUCCGCACCGUCCUCGUCAGCUUCCCGAUUUCUAAGAAGAAGCAGCAAGCAACUAUUAGAGCACACAAAUCGAAUGAAUAUACGGAAAAUGAUUGGAAUUACAUUUUGGAUCGUCACUUUCUCCGAGAUGAUUUUCGGGUAAAAAAUGAGCGGAAUUCACAAAAUAGGAAGAAUCUUCGAAUGACACAUCAUGCGGGGAGUGUGUCAUUCUCGCAGAUGACAACAAAAAUGGAGAGGACUACGGGUAUAGUGCCAUCACACAUUGACCUUUUCUACGAGACACGCAAUAAAAAAGGAACAGGUGAUGACUGUACUCGUGUGGUGGAUCCCCAUAUAUAAGAGAAAAUUGAUGUGAUGCGUCAGACGCUCUAAAGAAAUCCCGAUAUGUCUGAUUAUGAGCUGACCGAGAACAUUUUUGGACGACAAGGACACGUGAGGACCAUUAGAAUGGAUACGACAUGAGGUCCACCCAGUUUAGAGGAGAUUUGCGUGGUGGAAGCCAAUCUCAACAGAGGGAGCAAGAGUUUAAGAAGUUGCGUACUGAAUUACAAUAGGAGAAUUUGAAAAGAGAACAACUGGAGGUUGUAGUUCUUGAGUCAAAAAGAGACACACUUGAGACUAAAAGAGAAGCAAUUGAAACAAAAAGAGAAGCAUAAGAGAUAAAAAGACAAGCUCUUGAGGCACAAAGACAAAUGGAAAGACAAAUGGAAGAAUUUUUAGAACUAAUUGGCGGCGUUUAUGCCGAGAUAUCCUCCACUUCCACCUCCGAAUCAAUCUGGUAUAUGAUACUUUUAUCUUUUAAUACUUUGACCGGCAUAU